AGAGUUUGAUCAUGGCUCAGAAUCAACGCUGGCGGCGUGCCUCAGACAUGCAAGUCGAACGCGAAAGAAGGCUUCGGCCUUCGAGUAGAGUGGCGCACGGGUGAGUAAGACGUAGGUAAUUCACCUCCGGGUGGGGAAUAGCGGCUGGAAACGGCCAUUAAUACCGCAUAACGCAGCGGCAUCCUCGGAUGAAUAGUUGUUAAAGCGUGGGCAUGGAGCAAUCCAUCCACGCGCCUGGAGAGAAGCCUACGGCGGAUUAGCUAGUUGGCGGGGUAACGGCCCACCAAGGCAGUGAUCCGUAGCCGGCCUGAGAGGGCGGUCGGCCACACUGACACUGGAACACGGGUCAGACUCCUACGGGAGGCAGCAGUCGGGAAUUUUGGGCAAUGGCCGAAAGGCUGACCCAGCAACGCCGCGUGAAGGAUGAAAUCCUUCGGGAUGUAAACUUCACAAGAACGGGAAGAAUAAGCAAGCGUAAAUAGCGUUUGUGAUGACGGUACUGUUUGUAAGCUCCGGCUAACUCCGUGCCAGCAGCCGCGGUAAUACGGGGGGAGCAAGCGUUGUUCGGAUUUACUGGGCGUAAAGGGCGCGUAGGCGGUCGGACAAGUCACUUGUGAAAUCUGAAAGCUUAACUUUCAGCGGCCAAGUGAAACUGUUUGACUGGAGUGCGGAAGGGGCCAUCGGAAUUCUCGGUGUAGCGGUGAAAUGCGUAGAUAUCGAGAGGAACACCUGCGGCGAAGGCGGGUGGCUGGGCCGACACUGACGCUGAGGCGCGAAAGCUAGGGGAGCGAACGGGAUUAGAUACCCUGGUAGUCC
rnacentral:rRNA from 1 species